GACGAACGCUGGCGGCGCGCCUCAUACAUGCAAGUCGAACGAGAAGCCCGGGCUUGCCCGGGUGGAGAGUGGCGAACGGGUGAGGAACACGUGAGGAACCUGCCCCGAAGACUGGGAUAACACCGGGAAACCGGUGCUAAUACCGGAUGCCCCCAUCGGAUCUCAUGUUCCGAUGAGGAAAUGGAUUCCGCUUCGGGAUGGCCUCGCGGCCUAUCAGCUUGUUGGUGGGGUAACGGCCCACCAAGGCUUCGACGGGUAGCUGGUCUGAGAGGAUGUCCAGCCACACUGGGACUGAGACACGGCCCAGACUCCUACGGGAGGCAGCAGUAGGGAAUCUUGCGCAAUGAGCGAAAGCUUGACGCAGCGACGCCGCGUGCGGGAUGAAGGCCCUCGGGUCGUAAACCGCUUUCAGCAGGGACGAAACUGACGGUACCUGCAGAAGAAGGCCCGGCCAACUACGUGCCAGCAGCCGCAGUAACAC
rnacentral:rRNA from 1 species